rnacentral:tRNA from 1 species
GGAAGUGCACAGCUCACUGGUGGGGCUCCCGGACUUCAAAUCCGGUGUGAGGCGCUAGAACCGUCUCGGGUGGGUUCGAUUCCCAUGCACUUCCGCCA